rnacentral:rRNA from 1 species
CCUACGGGUGGCAGCAGUGAGGAAUAUUGGUCAAUGGACGAGAGUCUGAACCAGCCAAGUAGCGUGAAGGAUGACUGCCCUAUGGGUUGUAAACUUCUUUUAUAUGGGAAUAAAAUGUUCCACGUGUGGGAUUUUGUAUGUACCAUAUGAAUAAGGAACGGCUAACUCCGUGCCAGCAGCCGCGGUAAUACGGAGGAUCCGAGCGUUAUCCGGAUUUAUUGGGUUUAAAGGGAUCGUAGGUGGAUUGUUAAGUCAGUUGUGAAAGUUUGCGGCUCAACCGUAAAAUUGCAGUUGAAACUGGCAGUCUUGAGUACAGUAGAGGUGGGCGGAAUUCGUGGUGUAGCGGUGAAAUGCUUAGAUAUCACGAAGAACUCCGAUUGCGAAGGCAGUUCACUGGACUGCAACUGACACUGAGGCUCGAAAGUGUGGGUAUCAAACAGGAUUAGAUACCCGUGUAGUC